rnacentral:lncRNA from 1 species
GCCGAUGACAUUGUCUGCGUGUAUUAGGAGGCCCCCGUCUGCCUGCAAACACACAUAUAAACACGUAGUGGCGGUAAUGCGGCUGAUUUCAACCUUGGUGUGACAGGUAGCAGGGAGAGGACAGGAUAUCAAGGAGACCCAAACUAAAAAACUGCCCUGCCAGAAAUCCCUAUUUCCCACCCCCCUUGGGCAAGACACAUCCACCAAGGGAGCCCCGGCAAUUCAUCUUUCUCCAUGCUCGAAGAGUGAUGUGGAGGAAGAGGAUGGAGAACGGUGUGGAGAUGGAGGAGGGUUGAAGUGGAGUGCUGGAGGCGUUUCCUGCCAGCACAAAAAGAGCAGAGUCAAGCCCCGCACCCCCCACCUCCUCAGCACCUCUUCAUUAGUAUGCACCGGCUGUCACACAGGUGACAUGGCCGCUGGAUUCAGUCCUGACUGCAGGAACAUCAGCAGCGUGGCAGAAAGCAGGACAGCAGGUAAGGACAAUGAGAGCAAGGGGCGGGGAGGAAGAGGGAGACAAGGGGGACAGACGAUGGACUUCUUUUAUGGACUUAGGUCACACAUGCAUACACACUUUACGAAUGUAACAUAAACACACACGUUAUCAGAUUCAAGUGCUUUUCCCUAAUAAAAUAUGCAGUGAUUUCA